UUAUGCUCAUUCCAAAUAACGUACUGUAACUAGAUAAAAUUUCCAAUAUAUUUUUUCAGCUCUUCUCAAGGUAAUCUACGUUUGUCGUUCUUGUUGCAGGUGUAUGCAGUUCAACGUAGCCUAUUUCUCAACGUUGUUUCAUUUUCCUAUACUUUUUCUUUUCAACACAUCGAAAAAUUAACUACACAUUUCAACAUGAAAAUAUCAAACAAUCAAAUCCACUGCACGGUUCGAUUAUUAUUGUACGCAUAUGCAUUUUAUUUCGAUACCACAGCUCGUGUUUCCACGAAAAUACUCGGUCGUUAGUUCUAUAUUGUUCAUAAAAGUUCCAUCAACAUUCAACACUCAAUCACAUCCCCUACCCUUUCACAUUUCUGCAUCGAAUCACAUCGAAUACAAUGUACUCUUGAAAUCGCAAGCACAUUCUUAAGCUUAUUCUAGUGCUCGUUACACGUACAGUACGUCAAAAGUUCACUCUCAUUCUCUAGUUCGGUUUCAAUUCGCUCAUCUAUACGUGUUUUUCUCGUACGUUACAAUUAGAUAACAAACUAUCGUAAAAAUCUGCUCUCGUUUCCGAUACUUCGCAAUAUUCGAAUUUGUUUCGGUUUUUUCACCGCAUACUCGAAAACCAAAAUGCCCAAAUUGACGUAUAUUUUGUGCAUUGCGAUCGUGAUUAUACUCAACGGAGUUUCAGCCGGUCCUCUCACCUAUGCAGCCUGCCAAACCGGCUGUAAUGUGGUAGCUGUGGCGUGUUAUUCGGCGGCAGGAGUCACCAUGGGAACAAUUACGUUCGGAUUAGGUACUCCUUUGGCUGUGAUUGGUUGUGCGGCUGCUCAAGGAACUUGUAUGGCCGGAUGUGCUGUUUUAAUCGUCGCUCCGAUACCGUGAAUUUUCGUCUAAAUCGAAUCUGUAAGAAAUUUUCAAUGUAUUAGUAUACAGAUUUUGGAUUAUAAUAUUCGAUGGAUUGUCUAUAUUUUUAGUUGUAUUUGUAUUUUUAUUACGUGGCAUAUUUCUUCUGUGUUAUUACGUGUACGUUUUUUUUUUCGUUUUAGUGAAUAUUUUCGAUUUUUUUUUACAAUACGAUUAUUAUUAAUUGAAUGGUUUGACUUGUGAUUUUGUCACCUUUAAUAUGUUCGAUUUAUUUUACAAUUAUUAUAAAUGAUUAUUAUUAUGAAUAUUGAAUGGCUCGA